rnacentral:rRNA from 1 species
AACGAACGCUGGCGGCAUGCCUAACACAUGCAAGUCGAACGAAGCCCUUCGGGCUUAGUGGCGCACGGGUGCGUAACACGUGGGAAUCUGCCCUUCGGUUCGGAAUAACAGUUAGAAAUGACUGCUAAUACCGGAUGAUGACGUAAGUCCAAAGAUUUAUCGCCGAAGGAUGAGCCCGCGUAGGAUUAGGUAGUUGGUAGGGUAAUGGCCUACCAAGCCGACGAUCCUUAGCUGGUCUGAGAGGAUGAUCAGCCACACUGGGACUGAGACACGGCCCAGACUCCUACGGGAGGCAGCAGUGGGGAAUAUUGGACAAUGGGCGAAAGCCUGAUCCAGCAAUGCCGCGUGAGUGAUGAAGGCCUUAGGGUUGUAAAGCUCUUUUACCAGGGAUGAUAAUGACAGUACCUGGAGAAUAAGCUCCGGCUAACUCCGUG